UGAGCCUGUUUAUUUUCAGAGGUCUAGGA
rnacentral:piRNA from 1 species